GGAUUGGCUCUCGCGGACGCUGACGGACAGGGCAGGGGAGGGCCAAAGCCCGGUCUGACGGGCGCGCGCGGGGGCGCGAAAGCACGAGAGCGCGGCUGCGCGUGCGCGAGCGGCGGGGCUUUCUCCCGAGCCGUCGGAGGGAGCCGGAGCGCUUCUCCAGAGUUGGUGAUCGAUUGGUCGUAAUCCAACAUGCAGAAGUGAGUGAGUGGUGAAAAGCAGCAGAGCUGAUGGGUUGUGAGGAUGUAAGUGCGUUUGAAGGCUCUCACACCCUCUACUCCAGGCUAGUGACCCUAAUGCCAGAACGUCAGAAAACUACAGAAACAAGACGAUGGAGGAUGGAGAGGCUGCAGCCGGCCUCGGAGGAGCUGGAACGGGUUGCAGGUCCUUCUAGUUGUGGGACGUGGGACGCCGCCUCAACGUGGCCUGACGAGCUGGUGCCAUGUCCGCGCCCAGGAUCCGAACCCUGGACCACUGCAGUGGAGCCCUCAAACUUAACCACUCGGCCACGGAGCCAGCCCCAAGA
rnacentral:lncRNA from 1 species